ACGGCUCAGUAACACGUAGUCAACAUGCCCAGGGGACGUGGAUAACCUCGGGAAACUGAGGAUAAACCGCGAUAAGUCACUACUUCUGGAAUGGGUAAUGACUUAAAUCUAUAUGGCCCCUGGAUUGGACUGCGGCCGAUCAGGCUGUUGGUGAGGUAAUGGCCCACCAAACCUGUAACCGGUACGGGCUCUGAGAGGAGGAGCCCGGAGAUGGGCACUGAGACAAGGGCCCAGGCCCUAUGGGGCGCAGCAGGCGCGAAACCUCUGCAAUAGGCGAAAGCCUGACAGGGUUACUCUGAGUGAUCUCCGUUAAGGAGAUCUUUUGGCACCUCUAAAAAUGGUGCAGAAUAAGGGGUGGGCAAGUCUGGUGUCAGCCGCCGCGGUAAUACCAGCACCCCGAGUGGUCGGGACGUUUAUUGGGCCUAAAGCAUCCGUAGCCGGUUCUACAAGUCUUCCGUUAAAUCCACCUGCUUAACAGAUGGGCUGCGGAAGAUACUAUGGAGCUAGGAGGCGGGAGAGGCAAGCGGUACUCGAUGGGUAGGGGUAAAAUCCGUUGAUCCAUUGAAGACCACCAGUGGCGAAGGCGGCUUGCCAGAACGCGCUCGACGGUGAGGGAUGAAAGCUGGGGGAGCAAACCGGAUUAGAUACCCGGGUAGUCCCAGCUGUAAACGAUGCAGACUCGGUGAUGAAUUGGCUUCAUGCCAAUUCAGUGCCGCAGGGAAGCCGUUAAGUUUGCCGCCUGGGGAGUACGGUCGCAAGACUGAAACUUAAAGGAAUUGGCGGGGGAGCAC
rnacentral:rRNA from 1 species